CAGAACAACAUUAGCUCAUAUUAGCUGUAUGAGAGGAAGCAGUUCAUGUCAACACUGUAAGGAAAACAUUGGAUUUCUCUAGUGUUUUUGUUAGUUAGCUUUGUUUUGUGACUUGUUCACAGGAACAAUGAAGUCAAUUUAUGAUACCACCAAAUAAUAAAUGCUAUACAAAGCAAGCUGCAUUGACAAGCAACUCUAUUUAUUAGAAUUUUGAGUCAUAAAGGGAAGGUAUUAAACUGACAAUUUCUAAAACAAAAUAGCAAAUGCAAAUUUUUUUUACUUGCAGUUCCCCUUGUGGCAAUUGCAGUGUUACUUUUGACAGUGAGGCAGGGAUACAUGUGAAUCAUAUAUAUACAAAAAUAUUCUUUUUCACACGCUAGAAAAGAAUGAUGAGGUCUUGGUCUGUGG
rnacentral:misc_RNA from 1 species